rnacentral:rRNA from 1 species
UACGGAGGGUGCAAGCGUUAUCCGGAUUUACUGGGUUUAAAGGGUGCGUAGGUGGGUAGGUAAGUCAGUGGUGAAAUCUUCGAGCUUAACUCGGAAACUGCCAUUGAUACUGAUGGUCUUGAGUACAUUUGAGGUGGGCGGAAUGUGUCAUGUAGCGGUGAAAUGCUUAGAUAUGACACAGAACACCGAUUGCGAAGGCAGCUCACUAACUGUAACUGACGCUGAGGCACGAAAGCGUGGGAGCAACAGG